UAUUUGCGUUAGGGAUGGCAGUGGAGCUCUUUUUUAAUCCCUUUUUUCAAGGGAUUAAAAAAAGCGGGAACGUACAGCCCGACCCUUG
rnacentral:sRNA from 1 species